rnacentral:rRNA from 1 species
AGUGAACGCUGGCGGUAGGCCUAACACAUGCAAGUCGAACGGCAGCACAGUAAGAGCUUGCUCUUACGGGUGGCGAGUGGCGGACGGGUGAGGAAUACAUCGGAAUCUACUUUUUCGUGGGGGAUAACGUAGGGAAACUUACGCUAAUACCGCAUACGACCUACGGGUGAAAGCAGGGGAUCUUCGGACCUUGCGCGAUUGAAUGAGCCGAUGUCGGAUUAGCUAGUUGGCGGGGUAAAGGCCCACCAAGGCGACGAUCCGUAGCUGGUCUGAGAGGAUGAUCAGCCACACUGGAACUGAGACACGGUCCAGACUCCUACGGGAGGCAGCAGUGGGGAAUAUUGGACAAUGGGCGCAAGCCUGAUGCAGCCAUGCCGCGUGAGUGAAGAAGGCCUUCGGGUUGUAAAGCCCUUUUGUUGGGAAAGAAAAGCAGCAGGUUAAUACCCCGCUGUUCUGACGGUACCCAAAGAAUAAGCACCGGCUAACUUCGUG